ACAGGGAUUGCCCUAGUAACGGCGAGUGAAGCGGCAACAGCUCAAAUUUGAAAUCUGGCGUCUUUGGCGUCCGAGUUGUAAUUUGCAGAGGGCGCUUUGGCAUUGGCAGCGGUCCAAGUUCCUUGGAACAGGACGUCACAGAGGGUGAGAAUCCCGUACGUGGUCGCUAGCCUUUACCGUGUAAAGCCCCUUCGACGAGUCGAGUUGUUUGGGAAUGCAGCUCUAAAUGGGAGGUAAAUUUCUUCUAAAGCUAAAUACUGGCCAGAGACCGAUAGCGCACAAGUAGAGUGAUCGAAAGAUGAAAAGCACUUUGGAAAGAGAGUUAAAAAGCACGUGAAAUUGUUGAAAGGGAAGCGCUUGCAGCCAGACUUGCCUGUAGUUGCUCAUCCGGGUUUUUACCCGGUGCACUCUUCUAUGGGCAGGCCAGCAUCAGUUUGGGCGGUUGGAUAAAGGUCUCUGUCACGUACCUCCUCUCGGGGAGAACUUAUAGGGGAGACGUAAUGCAACCAGCCUGGACUGAGGUCCGCGCAUCUGCUAGGAUGCUGGCGUAAUGGCUGUAAGCGGCCCGUCUUGAAACACGGACCAAGGAGUCUAACAUCUAUGCGAGUGUUUGGGUGUCAAGCCCGAGCGCGUAAUGAAAGUGAACGGAGGUGGGAACCUUUCGGGGUGCACCAUCGACCGAUCCUGAUGUCUUCGGAUGGAUUUGAGUAAGAGCAUAGCUGUUGGGACCCGAAAGAUGGUGAACUAUGCUUGAAUAGGGUGAAGCCAGAGGAAACUCUGGUGGAGGCUCGCAGCGGUUCUGACGUGCAAAUCGAUCGUCAAAUUUGGGCAUAGGGGCGAAAGACUAAUCGAACUAUCUAGUAGCUGGUUCCUGCCGAAGUUUCCCUCAGGAUAGCAGUAACGUUUUCAGUUUUAUGAGGUAAAGCGAAUGAUUAGAGGCCUGGGGGUUGAAACAACCUUCACCUAUUCUCAAACUUUAAAUAUGUAAGAAGUCCUUGUUACUUAAUUGAACGUGGACAGUUGAAUGUAUCGUUACUAGUGGGCCAUUUUUGGUAAGCAGAACUGGCGAUGCGGGAUGAACCGAACGCGGGGUUAAGGUGCCAGAAUAUACGCUCAUCAGACACCACAAAAGGUGUUAGUUCAUCUAGACAGCAGGACGGUGGCCAUGGAAGUCGGAAUCCGCUAAGGAGUGUGUAACAACUCACCUGCCGAAUGAACUAGCCCUGAAAAUGGAUGGCGCUCAAGCGUAUUACCCAUACCCCGCCGCUGGGGCAAGAUUGAAGCCCCAGCGAGUAGGCAGGCGUGGAGGUCCGUGACGAAGCCUUGG
rnacentral:rRNA from 1 species